rfam:Cowpea polerovirus 2 isolate BE179, complete genome
CUCAGUUAGCCGGAAAGUCGCUGUUGCAAUUGCCGGAAAACUUAGUCAGCUACAC